AACGAACGCUGGCGGCAGGCCUAACACAUGCAAGUCGAGCGAAGCCCUCGGGCUUAGCGGCGGACGGGUGAGUAACGCGUGGGAACGUGCCCUUUGGUACGGAAUAGCCCCGGGAAACUGGGAGUAAUACCGUAUGUGCCCUUCGGGGGAAAGAUUUAUCGCCAAAGGAUCGGCCCGCGCUGGAUUAGGUAGUUGGUGGGGUAAUGGCCUACCAAGCCGACGAUCCAUAGCUGGUUUGAGAGGAUGAUCAGCCACACUGGGACUGAGACACGGCCCCGCCUCCGACGGGAGGCAGCAGUGGGGAAUCUUAGACAAUGGGGGAAACCAUGAUCUAGCCAUGCCGCGUGAUCGAUGAAGGCCUUAGGGUUGUAAAGAUCUUUCAGUGGGGAAGAUAAUGACUGUACCCACAGAAGAAGCCCCGGCUAACUCCGGGCCAGCCGCCGCCGUAAGAC
rnacentral:rRNA from 1 species